GUGCCCCUGGCUCAGUGCAGGUAACGCGGCCCCUGAGGGCGGCUGAGGGCACUCGGCUCCUUCAGCCCGGAGGAGCUGAGGGAGCCCCGCAGUGUGGUCUUCAACAUCCUCACAAGGGGAAGGAGACGGGCAGACACUGAUCCCUUAUCUGUGGUGAUCAGUGACAGGACCCGAGCGAAUGGCCUGGAGUUGUGUCGGGGGAGAUUUAGCUUGGAUAUUAGGAAAAGUUCUUCCUGCAUAGGGUGGUUGGACACUGAACAGGCUCCCCAGGGCAGUGGUCACAGCACCAAGCCUGACAGAGCUCAAGGAAUGUUUGGACAGGGCUUUCAGGAUGUGACCUUGGGCUGUCCUGUGCAGGACCAAGACCUGGACUCAAUGAUCUUUGUGGAUCCCUUCUAACUCAAGAUAUUCUAUGAUUCCAUGAUAAAUAUUUUUUUCGUGCCUUAAUUUAAAAUGCACGUGGAUUAUGCAGCAGAGAUAAAGAAGUGAAACAAGACAACCAAACUUCAGGACAGGGGUAAGGGUUUCACAACAAUGGGGGGGAAAUAGUCUGGACAGCUUAGUAUGAAGCGGAGGGUCAAGGAAGAUCGGAUUAACCACGGCCACAUGUAGAUCUGACUAGCUACUAGCAUUAAAUAAGCCUGCAAAAUAAUAACUUCUUAGUCUUUUCGAAAACAUCUAACUAAAAACAUCUAACUAAACUAGGUUCUUGGGUAAGUAAGUACUAAACUAGGUUCUUGGGUAAGAAGCUACUGAGGUGAACUUUUCAAAAAUGUCAACUGGAAAGCAGCUUUGCACAAGACUUACUGGAACAAAGCAAUACCUAAUAGUUCACCAAAUAGCUUCAGCUUCCUGGUAUUCCUUGUACUCCUCAGUAUAUGGAGAACUUGAGGGGAUAUCUGAGGUAUUAAAUUCACCAACUCCAUACUAUUUCUGUAGGUUUGAAUGGCACAAAGAGGAGGAGGUGCUCUGCACUGGUCUGUAGGUGCCCAGAUCCCCAGAUGAGCUGUAGGGACAUUAAGUGCUUUGCUUGGGAUCUGCCACACUGGCUGGCUGUUCUUUACAAGAUGCACCAGGCGCUGCUGGACAUAACUCUGAACCUCUCCCAGGGGCAGGGGCCUGAUCUUUUGGCAAAACUGAAAGCAAAGUUCAUGUCUGUGGCCUGUGACCCCCUUUUACACCCAAGGCCAUGAUUUAAGAGACCACAAUUUCCUCUAUGGCCUGAAAGGUGACAAGCCUCAACCUCGCAGCCUCGAGGAGGAGGAGGAAGUUCCAGGCUGUGCUGGACAUCUCCACAGCUGUUCCCAUGAAAACUGUUCUGCCUGACUUCCCAACUGGAGGGUGUUUCUCCUGUGACUGGGCCUGAAUUCAUGAGGCACACACCUUUAAAAUCUGUAAAUAGUCACCAAUUAAAAGUACUGAAAUAAAGCUUGGGUGAAGGGCA
rnacentral:lncRNA from 1 species